AGUGAACGCUGGCGGUAGGCCUAACACAUGCAAGUCGAACGGCAGCACAGUAAGAGCUUGCUCUUACGGGUGGCGAGUGGCGGACGGGUGAGGAAUACAUCGGAAUCUACUUUUUCGUGGGGGAUAACGUAGGGAAACUUACGCUAAUACCGCAUACGACCUACGGGUGAAAGCAGGGGAUCUUCGGACCUUGCGCGAUUGAAUGAGCCGAUGUCGGAUUAGCUAGUUGGCGGGGUAAAGGCCCACCAAGGCGACGAUCCGUAGCUGGUCUGAGAGGAUGAUCAGCCACACUGGAACUGAGACACGGUCCAGACUCCUACGGGAGGCAGCAGUGGGGAAUAUUGGACAAUGGGCGCAAGCCUGAUCCAGCCAUACCGCGUGGGUGAAGAAGGCCUUCGGGUUGUAAAGCCCUUUUGUCGGGAAAGAAAAGCAGCAGGUUAAUACCCCGCUGUUCUGACGGUACCCAAAGAAUAAGCACUGGCUAACUUCGUG
rnacentral:rRNA from 1 species